GAUGAACGCUGGCGGCGUGCCUAAUACAUGCAAGUCGAGCGAACGGACGAGAAGCUUGCUUCUCUGAUGUUAGCGGCGGACGGGUGAGUAACACGUGGAUAACCUACCUAUAAGACUGGGAUAACUUCGGGAAACCGGAGCUAAUACCGGAUAAUAUUUUGAACCGCAUGGUUCAAAAGUGAAAGACGGUCUUGCUGUCACUUAUAGAUGGAUCCGCGCUGCAUUAGCUAGUUGGUAAGGUAACGGCUUACCAAGGCAACGAUGCAUAGCCGACCUGAGAGGGUGAUCGGCCACACUGGAACUGAGACACGGUCCAGACUCCUACGAGAGGCAGCAGUAGGGAAUCUUCCGCAGUGGGCGAAAGCCUGACGGAGCAACGCCGCGUGAGUGAUGAAGGUCUUCGGAUCGUAAAACUCUGUUAUUAGGGAAGAACAUAUGUGUAAGUAACUGUGCACAUCUUGACGGUACCUAAUCAGAAAGCCACGGCUAACUACGUG
rnacentral:rRNA from 1 species